CCCAACCAGUAUCGAUCCACCAAAUUUGGUCUGCAAGGAGGGUUUAUUUGGGAUUGGGUUGACUAAGUUUGAAACUCAUCUCUUAAAUUUUAUAAAAUUGUAAAUGUGGUGAAAGGGUAGUUCUAAAUAUUUGCAUCUGGUUUCAGGGGUUACUCAAGGAAAAUGCAAAUGGUAGCAAAUACUGGGCAUAUGGAGGUGAUUUUGGAGAUACACCAAAUGACUUAAAUUUCUGCUUAAAUGGUCUCAUAUGGCCUGAUCGGACUCCUCGUCCUGCUCUAAAUGAGGUCAAGUAUUGCUAUCAACCAAUUAAAAUUUCAUUCACCAAUGGCGUAAUUAAGAUUACAAACACCAAUUUCUUUCAAACAUCAGAAGAUCUAGAGUUUAAUUGGGUGAUUGAAGUUGAUGGAUGUAAACUUGAUUCUGGAA